GAGAGAGAGAGAGGGGCUGUUCAGACAGCGGAGCAGGAAAAUGCCGAAGGUUAAGUGCAGCUUCACAGAUGAACUGCAAAAAAAAUUAAUAAAAAAUCCCACAUGCUGAGAGGAAAAAUAGAAUGUAGAAGAAAAGCAGGAUGAAGAAGACAAUUAAAGAUGAAAAUCAGAUGGAGCAGAGAUCCUGGAGACACAGAGACUUGUGAAGUGAAGUGCGCCACAAGCUGGAGGAGCGAACUUCUCUCCACCAGAGGAGCAGAAUGUUUUUUAAAGGAGACGCAGCUCGCUGCUCCGGAGGACUGCUGACUGCAGUCAAGCCAGACGACACGUUGUUGAGCGGGGCGCACAUAUUCUACUCAUUACGGUGGGCGUAUGUUUCUGGUGAGUGGGGUGUGGACUGGUGCAGGGAAGCUGCUGAUUACUUGAGUGCUUCCACCUGAAAUUGGGCCUGGUCUUCACCAAACAAUUCAUCACCCUAUAAAGCUCCCUCAGACCACAGUGCAGCGUUGGAUCGUAAUAUCACCACAGAACCACUCGCUGCCCCGCCUUGGAUGACAUCUCUGAGCCUCCUCUGCUUCGCUCCGACUCCGCUGGAAAGGUUCCCCGGACCUCACCCCUCUGGGCUGCUGCGCCAGGACUUCCACACAAUCUCCCCUCUGGCUGAGCAUCCACGAACCCUCUUCCUUCACGCUUCAUCCGCAGUAGCUCUUUCCCUCGCUGGAUUGCCGAGGUGGGUCUUUGGGUUUAGUUGUUAGCUCCUUGGUUCCUCAGUCCCGGUUUGGUUAUGACUGAUUAGGUUACGGCUCAGUCCUUGUUUUGUUCACGGCUUGUCAGAAGGCUUGGAGUCCUGUUCUGUUCUUAUGAAGCGCCGCCGUGAUUUUCAAGAGUAGCGGGAUUAGUUUGGGUUUGGUAUUGAUUCCUCUGUAAAUAAAAUAAUUGUUC